rnacentral:rRNA from 1 species
AUUAUAGCUUGCUAUGAUAAAAAUUAGUGGCAGACGGGUGAGUAAUGCAUAGGAAUCUACCUAGUAGUAUGGGAUAGCCACUAGAAAUGGUGGGUAAUACUGUAUAAUCCCUGCGGGGGAAAGAUUUAUCGCUAUUAGAUGAGCCUAUGUUAGAUUAGCUAGUUGGUAGGGUAAAGGCCUACCAAGGCGGUGAUCUAUAGCUGGUCUGAGAGGAUGAUCAGCCACACUGGAACUGAGAUACGGUCCAGACUCCUACGGGAGGCAGCAGUGGGGAAUAUUGGACAAUGGGCGCAAGCCUGAUCCAGCUAUGCCGCGUGAGUGAGGAAGGCCUUAGGGUUGUAAAACUCUUUCAGUGGGGAAGAUAAUGACGGUACCCACAGAAGAAGUCCCGGCAAACUCCGUGCCAGCAAGCCGCGGUAAUACGGAGGGGGCAAGCGUUGUUCGGAAUUAUUGGGCGUAAAGGGCAUGUAGGCGGUUCGGUAAGUUAAAGGUGAAAUGCCAGGGCUUAACCCUGGAGCUGCUU